rnacentral:rRNA from 1 species
GACUAUAUGGAAAUAUUCAAUGUUUAAAAUAUAAAUGCAUUUCAGAAGCUAAGCAGGGUCAGGCCUGGUUAGUACUUGGAUGGGAGACCACUUGGGAACACUGGGUGCUGUAGUCU